GGUGAACGCUGGCGGCGUGCCUAAUACAUGCAAGUCGAGCGAACAGAUGAGGAGCUUGCUCCUCUGACGUUAGCGGCGGACGGGUGAGUAACACGUGGAUAACCUACCUAUAAGACUGGGAUAACUUCGGGAAACCGGAGCUAAUACCGGAUAAUAUAUUGAACCGCAUGGUUCAAUAGUGAAAGACGGUUUUGCUGUCACUUAUAGAUGGAUCCGCGCCGCAUUAGCUAGUUGGUAAGGUAACGGCUUACCAAGGCAACGAUGCGUAGCCGACCUGAGAGGGUGAUCGGCCACACUGGAACUGAGACACGGUCCAGACUCCUACGGGAGGCAGCAGUAGGGAAUCUUCCGCAAUGGGCGAAAGCCUGACGGAGCAACGCCGCGUGAGUGAUGAAGGUCUUCGGAUCGUAAAACUCUGUUAUUAGGGAAGAACAUAUGUGUAAGUAACUGUGCACAUCUUGACGGUACCUAAUCAGAAAGCCACGGCUAACUACGUG
rnacentral:rRNA from 1 species